rnacentral:rRNA from 1 species
CCUAGGGGAGGCUGCAGUAGGGAAUAUUGGACAAUGGGCGAAAGCCUGAUCCAGCCAUGCCGCGUGAGAGAUGAAGGCCCUCUGGGUUGUAAAUAUCUUUUAUCUGGGAAGAAACAAUCUUAUUCUUAAGAUCUUGACGGUACCAGAGGAAUAAGCACAGGCUAACUACGUGCCAGCAGACGCGGUAAUACGGAGGGUGCAAGCGUUAUCCGGAUUAACGGGGUCGAAGGGGUGCUGAGAAGUCAGUGGUGAAAGCUCCUAGCUUAACUUGGAAACUGCCAUUGAUACUGCCAGUCUUGAAUGUCGUAGAGGUAAGCGGAAUGUUGCAUGUAGCGGUGAAAUGCUUAGAUAUGUUACAGAACACCAAUUGCGAAGGCAGCUUACUAUGCGAUGAUUGACGCUGAGGCACGAAAGCGUGGGGAGCAAACAGGAUUAGAUACCCUAGUAGUC